rnacentral:rRNA from 1 species
AACAGGAUUUGAUACCCUGGUAGUCCACGCCGUAAACGAUGUCGACUUGGAGGUUGUGCCCUUGAGGCGUGGCUUCCGGAGCUAACGCGUUAAGUCGACCGCCUGGGGAGUACGGCCGCAAGGUUAAAACUCAAAUGAAUUGACGGGGGCCCGCACAAGCGGUGGAGCAUGUGGUUUAAUUCGAUGCAACGCGAAGAACCUUACCUGGUCUUGACAUCCACAGAACUUUCCAGAGAUGGAUUGGUGCCUUCGGGAACUGUGAGACAGGUGCUGCAUGGCUGUCGUCAGCUCGUGUUGUGAAAUGUUGGGUUAAGUCCCGCAACGAGCGCAACCCUUAUCCUUUGUUGCCAGCGGUCCGGCCGGGAACUCAAAGGAGACUGCCAGUGAUAAACUGGAGGAAGGUGGGGAUGACGUCAAGUCAUCAUGGCCCUUACGACCAGGGCUGCACACGUGCUACAAUGGCGCAUACAAAGAGAAGCGACCUCGCGAGAGCAAGCGGACCUCAUAAAGUGCGUCGUAGUCCGGAUUGGAGUCUGCAACUCGACUCCAUGAAGUCGGAAUCGCUAGUAAUCGUGGAUCAGAAUGCCACGGUGAAUACGUUCCCGGGCCUUGUACACACCGCCCGUCACACCAUGGGAGUGGGUUGCAAAAGAAGUAGGUAGCUUAACCUUCGGGAGGGCGCUUACCACUUUGUGAUUCAUGACUGGGGUGAAGUCGUAACAAGGUAACC